rnacentral:lncRNA from 1 species
GUCAGGAGAGCGCGCUACCACUUGAGCCACAUCCCCAGCCCCUUCAAUUAGUUCUGAAUCAAGCAUGGAAGAGUUCAGUAGUUUGCGGGAAUCCACUGCGGCGUGCACCUGGCCAUCCUGCCUCAGGUCGACGGACUGCUCUCCCUGGGCUCCUCAAGGGAGAAUGGUGCUGAGGAAGUUUGGAAAUCUAGAGCCUGAGUUUCCUCUCUAAUAUUGACUGAGGCAAUUCUCCUGGCAGAUAUGGCUGGGUGGUUGGUAAAUUUGGUCAUGUUCCUUGUGCUUAUUUUUAAACGAGACAGGAAAUAUGCUCUUUACUGAUUCUAUCAUUCUCCAGCUCACAGUGCCAAAAAUACCCCUCCAAUCACAGCCUGGAAAUCCAGGUUCUUGUGAGGGUCACAAUUUGUAGUUAUCUCAGUCAUGUCUUCCUUUGGGUUUCUCCAAUAUCCUUGCUCCUUUGACUCUGUCUCCCUCUGGAUCAUUCUUGGUAGCCUCUGCCUCUUUCUCCCACCUUUGAAAUGAUGCUAGUGCCCUCCAGAAUGGCUUUGUGAGGCCAUUAACAGAAAUAAUUAAAAAUUAGAAAAUACUCAGCCAGCAGAUUCAAAGUAAUUUUUUUUUUUUGUCCUUAAAGAGCUCACACCACCAGAUAUAUAUAAGCAUAAACCUGCACAAAGCCCAAUAUCUUCUGCAGGUGCCAUAGUAAUUAUCACACAUGGCCACUGGCACCUGGGAUGACUGCAGGGGGGCUGUAUGUUCUGUGCCAAGCAUUGAGCUCUGCUGUGCUGAAGAUUAUGUACUACUUGGUCCAAUUGCUCAUGUUGCUGAUCCAAGACCUUGGACAUGAUCUCUACCUCCAUCAGGCAGCCUCUGUGGGCUGAGAAACAUUCCCUAAACUUCAUUCCACACUUCUUCAGAAUUCCGAAGAGUGGCCCAAGUUCCAGAGAGAAAGGAGACAUAUUCAGAAACUAUUCCUUUAAUUCAGAGAUUCUCAACCAUAGCAUUACUGGCAUUCUGAGACAGAAAAUUAUUUGGGGAUGGGGUCUCUUGUGUAUUGCAUGAUAUUUAGCAGCUUCCCUGGUUUCUGUGUAUUAGAUGUUAGUAUUGCCCUGUUCCCUCCACCCAAAUUGUGACAAUCAAAAAUGUCUUUGGAUAUUGCUAAAGAUCCCCUGGGGACGAAGUCUCUGUUCAGGAGUCAAUGCUUAAUCCAACAUUCCAGCAAGUUCUAACUAAAAGGAAAGACAUUCCAUUGGAAGAUUUAAUAUUGUUAAGAUGACAAUAUUCCCCCAAAUUGAUUGACAACAAUACAGCCCAAAUUUGUCAGUGUAACCUCUAUUCAAAUCUUGCAGGAAUUGAUAAGCUGGUCCUGAAAUUCACAGGAUCCAGUAUAAUCAAAACAAUCUUGGAAAAAGAACAAAGUUAGAGGACUUUCCAUUCCCAAUUUCAAAACUUACUACACAAUUGUAAUAAUCAAGAUACUAUGGAACCUGCAAAGGGAAGACAUAUGGACCCAAGGAAUAAAACUCAGGGUCCAAAAGUAUUUAUAUUUAUGGCCAAGUGAUUUUCAACAAGGGUGUCAAGAUCAUUCAGUGAGGAACAACUAGGUAUCCACAUGCAAAAGAUUAAAGUUAGAGCCCUAUCUCACCCCAUAUACAAAAUUUACCUUAAAAUGUAUCAAAGAAUUAAAGUUGAGAACUAAAAACAUAAAACUAAAAGACAAGAUAUAAGCAUCUCUUCCUGAUCUUGAAUUAGGCAAUAGCUUCUUAAAUUUGACCCCUGAAAUGCACAAACAACACAACACAACAAAAUGAUAAAUUGGACAUCAUUAAAAUUAAAAUCUUGGUACUUCAAAUAUACCAUCAAGAAAAUGAAAACUGG